rnacentral:rRNA from 1 species
AUUGAACGCUGGCGGCAGGCUUAACACCUGCAAGUCGAGCGGAGAUGAGGUGCUUGCACCUUAUCUUAGCGGCGGACGGGUGAGUAAUGCUUAGGAAUCUGCCUAUUAGUGGGGGACAACAUUCCGAAAGGAAUGCUAAUACCGCAUACGUCCUACGGGAGAAAGCAGGGCAUCUUCGGACCUUGCCCUAAUAGAUGAGCCUAAGUCGGAUUAGCUAGUUGGUGGGGUAAAGGCCUACCAAGGCGACGAUCUGUAGCGGGUCUGAGAGGAUGAUCCGCCACACUGGGACUGAGACACGGCCCAGACUCCUGCGGGAGGCAGCAGUGAGGAAUAUUGGACAAUGGGGGAAACCCUGAUCCAGCCAUGCGGCGUGUGUGAAGAAGGCCUUAUGGUUGUAAAGCACUUUAAGCGAGGAGGAGGCUACUGAGACUAAUACUCUUGGAUAGUGGACGUUACUCGCAGAAUAAGCACCGGCUAACUCUGUGCCAGCAGCCGCCGCAG